rnacentral:lncRNA from 1 species
UUCUCUGUCCUCUCCAUGUUUCUCUCCCUCGCUCAAAUCUGGGGAAAUGCACCGGCCCAAGUCAGGUCAGAGACGCGUUCUGUGAUAACAGGAGUUACAAUGUGUUUGUACCUUGUUCAAGCAAGAUUUGUUUUAUUCUUUUAGUGGUAAAAAUUGGGUCUGAAUUCUGUUGGUAUCGACCAUAUCUUCACCCACCGGUCUCUGUCGGUUGGUUGGUUGGUUUUUAGCAGCAUGUGGGAAUCUGUCUCUCUUGCGGGAUUUGCGGGAUCAAAGGUUUUUGUGGCUGGGAGGGGGCUGAAAAUGCAAAAACCAAAGCCGGGCACUUGAAUAACAGGAACGGGACAGAAUUAACAACAGUCCCGCUUAGGGCUCUAGUCUGAGGCCCGAUGUGUGGUGCCCCCACUGGCGGCUGUGCCCCUCUGGGCAGACCCAGUGCUCCCCGUGUCUCAGGCCAACGUUUGCUGCUCUCCCACAUUGCCACGGGCCCUCAUUGCCCCGGCCAGCCGAGCUCCCAGGCUGGGCCCCAGCAGGGUUCAAUGGCUCAUGACCCCUCCUCUCCUCACAGCCAAUCCGUGCCAGCCCUCCCUGCGGCGCCGAAUGGAACCGGGACCCUCCCUCACCUGUUCCGUGGGGGCCAAGUGCCCCCAUCUCCCCUCCUGGUACGACAGAGAUGGCGCGCGGCGGAGCCCAGAGCAAACCCCGGGCGGGGCUGGGGAGACCGAGCUGCGAAUAUCCCCGUCCCAGCUGGACCCCGGCGCAGCGCUGAGAUGCCAGGUGGAUGGAUACAGGGAUGAGUGUGACUCUGACCAAUCCCAUCCCCUGGGGACAGCCACCUCCAACGUGCUCAGGGUCGAGGUUUCAUGGCCGGCAGGGCAGACAGCGCUAAGGGAAGGCGACGGUUUUACCCUCCGCUGUCAGGCUGCUGCCCUGUGGCCCGUCGCCGGGUACGUCUGGUCCCACGGGGACGUGUGGCUGCCAGAAGCCGGGCAGGAUUUACGUGUUGACAAGGCAGCCGUCUCUGAUGGAGGGAGCUACGCGUGCGGGGUCUGGGUCUCCGGCCCCGGCUGGGGGUAUCUGAGCCUCUCUGCGAGGGAAUCGGUCAUAGUUCAGCGUAAGUAUCGAAGGCUGGAGGGAGCCUCCUCCCUCGCAACCCCCGAUACUCCCCACACGGCCUCCUGAAGCAGCCCCAUGUGCCCCCACCUCAUCCCCCCUCUUUCGUCCCUGCUCACCUCAUUAGCCCCAGCCUCAUAUUCCGCCCCCGCCUCCUAAUACCAGGGUUUGGUCAACCCCAGUGCUGCUGGCUCUGGGCU